GGAAGGCGGUGAGGGCAUCAGGUUUUUUUUCUUCUCUUUUCUUCUAGCAAUUACGCCCCCGUGGCUAAAUUAAACUCCCAUUGGCUAAAUUAGGCUCGAAGAGAGGGGCACCUGCUGCUAAGCUGUGUAUGUUGUCCCCUAGGACUCCCACCGUUUGCUGAGCUCCACAUGACAACAGCAGACGACAGGCCGCACUGAUCCCACCUGGCUUACAGGUGCUGUCACACAGGCUCCCUUGCUCCUUCAUUCAACCAUUGUUUACAUGUCGUUCAGGACUGCUGACUAAACACUUUCAAGCACAGUGGACCCUUGAACAACGCAGGUUCAAACUGUGCAGGUCCACCCACAGGGAUGUUUUUCAAUCAGAGUUAUACCAAGUGUCCCUGCCUCUCCUGCCUCCCUUCCCACUUCCUCCAUGUCUUCCUCUCUGCCACCCUGAGGCAGCAAGACCAGCCCCUCCUCCUCAGCCACUCAACAUGAAGACAACGAGGAUGAAGACUUCUAUGAUAAUCCACUUCCACUUAGUAAAUGCUUUCUCUUAUGAUAUUCUUAAUGACAUUUUAUUUUCCCAAGCUUAGUUUAUUGUAAGAAUACAGUAUAAAUACA
rnacentral:lncRNA from 10 species